AGUUGGCAUCAGGUGGUGUUGGUUACUGCUGCAAAUAACAGAGUUACUCUAGUUCUUUGAGUUACAUAGGUGAAACAAGAAAGAGAAGAAAGAGAGAAACGAAAAAAAAAAAAAAAAAGAGAAAACAAUUCAAAACAUGCAACGUACAAUACAGUGCAUCAUGCUGAAGGGAUUUAAUGCCAAUCAGAUGUCACCAAGCUAUUAAACUAGAGCACGAGAGCCCAGAACAAUAAACUGACGUGAUGAUGUGAAUACAUGACUGAAAAGCUCAGAAAUAAAGAAGCCAGAAACAGAAAUCAAUGUUAUUAGUCAUAACUGUAUGAUAAUGUAUU